UUGAUAAUGAAAGACGCGCCGGUUGAACAGCCAGCACGCUAGCAAGAUUUUUCUCGCGCUACAAAGCUACCCGGCUGUAAUGGCCACUCUGGG